UACGGGGGGAGCGAGCGUUGUUCGGAAUCACUGGGCGUAAAGGGUGCGCAGGCGGGAGACUAAGUCGGGUGUGAAAACCUCGGGCUCAACCCGAGGCCUGCACUCGAAACUGAUCUUCUUGAGUAUCGGAGAGGAAAGUGGAACUCCAGGUGUAGCGGUGAAAUGCGUAGAUAUCUGGAGGAACACCUGUGGCGAAGGCGGCUUUCUGGCCGAAUACUGACGCUCAUGCACGAAGGCUAGGGGAGCAAACAGG
rnacentral:rRNA from 1 species